rnacentral:rRNA from 1 species
UACGUAGGAUCCAAGCGUUGUCCGGAAUUACUGGGUGUAAAGGGUGCGCAGGCGGGCUUGUGUGUCAGAGGUUAAAUCCCACCGCUUAACGGUGGACAUGCCUUUGAUACGGCAAGUCUUGAAUGCGAGCGAGGUAGGUAGAAUUCCUGGUGUAGCGGUGAAAUGCGUAGAUAUCUAGAAGAACACCGAUGGCGAAGGCAGUCAACUGGUCUGCUACUGACGCUCAUGCUCGAAAGCGUGGGGAUCAAACAGG